rnacentral:misc_RNA from 1 species
UAAUAAGUGUUUUAUGGCACCUUUUAAAUCCAUAUCCACCUUGUGUGCAAUGUCAGUCGAUCUUCUUCAUGGAGAUCGACCAAACAUCAACCUUUAUCUUUUAACUCUUUGUCUGAAAAAUAUUAUGAAUAAACAAUUCAAAUA